UGCCUGCCCYGUGACUAUAUGUUUAACGGCCGCGGUAUUUUGACCGUGCGAAGGUAGCGCAAUCACUUGUCUUUUAAAUGAAGACCUGUAUGAAUGGCAAGACGAGGGCUUAACUGUCUCCUCUCCCAGGUCAAUGAAACUGAUCUCCCCGUGCAGAAGCGGGGAUGCCCCCAUAAGACGAGAAGACCCUAUGGAGCUUUAGAUACAAGGUAGGCCAUGUUAAAGACCUCUAGAUAAAGAAGAAAACAAACUGGACCUCUACCUAAAUGUCUUUGGUUGGGGCGACCGCGGGGAAACACAAAACCCCCAUGUGGAGUGGGAUUACUAAUCCUACAACCGAGAGCUCCCGCUCUAAGUACCAGAACAUCUGGCCAAACAGAUCCGGCAAUGCCGAUCAACGAACCGAGUUACCCUAGGGAUAACAGCGCAAUCCUCUUCUAGAGCCCAUAUCGACAAGRGGGUUUACGACCUCGAUGUUGGAUCAGGACAUCCUAAUGGUGCAGCCGCUAUUAAGGG
rnacentral:rRNA from 1 species